rnacentral:rRNA from 1 species
GCCUUUACUGACGCUAAAGCUCGAAGGUGCGGGUAUCGAACAGGAUUAGAUACCCUGGUAGUCCGCACGGUAAACGAUGGAUGCCCGCUGUUUGCGAUACACUGUGAGCGGCCAAGCGAAAGCGUUAAGCAUCCCACCUGGGGAGUACGCCGGCAACGGUGAAACUCAAAGGAAUUGACGGGGGCCCGCACAAGCGGAGGAACAUGUGGUUUAAUUCGAUGAUACGCGAGGAACCUUACCCGGGCUUGAACUGCCGGCGAACGAUACAGAGAUGUUGAGGCCCUUCGGGGCGCCGGCGGAGGUGCUGCAUGGUUGUCGUCAGCUCGUGCCGUGAGGUGUCGGCUUAAGUGCCAUAACGAGCGCAACCCCUCUCCGUAGUUGCCAUCGGGUGAUGCCGGGCACUCUGCGGACACUGCCACCGUAAGGUGUGAGGAAGGUGGGGAUGACGUCAAAUCAGCACGGCCCUUACGUCCGGGGCUACACACGUGUUACAAUGGGUGGUACAGAGGGCAGGCGUCCGGCAACGUCCGUCUAAUCCCGAAAGCCAUCCUCAGUUCGGACUGGGGUCUGCAACCCGACCCCACGAAGCUGGAUUCGCUAG